rnacentral:rRNA from 1 species
GACGAACGCUGGCGGCGUGCUUAACACAUGCAAGUCGAACGGAAAGGCCCUGCUUUUGUGGGGUGCUCGAGUGGCGAACGGGUGAGUAACACGUGAGUAACCUGCCCUUGACUUUGGGAUAACUUCAGGAAACUGGGGCUAAUACCGGAUAGGAGCUCCUGCUGCAUGGUGGUGGUUGGAAAGUUUCGGCGGUUGGGGAUGGACUCGCGGCUUAUCAGCUUGUUGGUGGGGUAGUGGCUUACCAAGGCUUUGACGGGUAGCCGGCCUGAGAGGGUGACCGGCCACAUUGGGACUGAGAUACGGCCCAGACUCCUACGGGAGGCAGCAGUGGGGAAUAUUGCACAAUGGGCGGAAGCCUGAUGCAGCAACGCCGCGUGCGGGAUGACGGCCUUCGGGUUGUAAACCGCUUUCGCCUGUGAUGAAGCGUGAGUGACGGUAAUGGGUAAAGAAGCACCGGCUAACUACGUG